AGUUAUGAUUAAAUAAGAAAAACAAUUGUUCCAGUUGGGUUGCGAUUCAAUUGGGGUUUCUGCAAUUUGCAGCAAGUCGAGCUGAAUAUGGGGGUAGUGGGGAAAGCAGGAGAUUGGGCAUUUAAGGCGUUCUCGGCGGGGCUAGGAGUCGCUACCAUAUUCUUUGCUGCUACUUUCUCCGCCAACGUCUACCGUGGUCUCUCUUGGCAUAACCGACAAUCGAGGAUUGGGAAGGAAGGAUCUAAAGUCCUGCAGCAGCAAGAAUGACGGUUUGAGAGGUCCUACACUUUCACAUCGCGUUGCUAGCUGAGCUCAUCCUAUAAGUUCUGAAUCUUUUUAAAGUGAUGCAAUAACUUCAACACGAGUAUGAUUUACAUUCUGUCCUUUCUGUUGCUGGCCACAUUAUUUUGGAGUUGUAAUUCGAGAUACCUAUUUAAUUAUAGCAUCUGAUAACCGUUAAAAUGAGAUUUGAAUGAUGUUUGAAAUUCAUAUGCGUGAAGUGAAAUUAUACGAUCGGAUUGAACUGAUUAUUCACAUGGAAUAUUACUUUUCCUGGAAACUUCUAAA